AUGAACGCUAGCGACAGGCUUAACACAUGCAAGUCGAGGGGCAGCACAGGUAGCAAUACCGGGUGGCGACCGGCGCACGGGUGAGUAACGCGUAUGCAACUUGCCUAUCAGAGGGGGAUAACCCGGCGAAAGUCGGACUAAUACCGCAUGAAGCAGGGGCCCCGCAUGGGGAUAUUUGCUAAAGAUUCAUCGCUGAUAGAUAGGCAUGCGUUCCAUUAGGCAGUUGGCGGGGUAACGGCCCACCAAACCGACGAUGGAUAGGGGUUCUGAGAGGAAGGUCCCCCACAUUGGUACUGAGACACGGACCAAACUCCUACGGGAGGCAGCAGUGAGGAAUAUUGGUCAAUGGCCGAGAGGCUGAACCAGCCAAGUCGCGUGAGGGAUGAAGGUUCUAUGGAUCGUAAACCUCUUUUAUAAGGGAAUAAAGUGCGGGACGUGUCCCGUUUUGUAUGUACCUUAUGAAUAAGGAUCGGCUAACUCCGUGCCAGCAGCCGCGGUAAUACGGAGGAUCCGAGCGUUAUCCGGAUUUAUUGGGUUUAAAGGGUGCGUAGGCGGCCUUUUAAGUCAGCGGUGAAAGUCUGUGGCUCAACCAUAGAAUUGCCGUUGAAACUGGGGGGCUUGAGUAUGUUUGAGGCAGGCGGAAUGCGUGGUGUAGCGGUGAAAUGCAUAGAUAUCACGCAGAACCCCGAUUGCGAAGGCAGCCUGCCAAGCCAUUACUGACGCUGAUGCACGAAAGCGUGGGGAUCAAACAGGAUUAGAUACCCUGGUAGUCCACGCAGUAAACGAUGAUCACUAGCUGUUUGCGAUACACUGUAAGCGGCACAGCGAAAGCGUUAAGUGAUCCACCUGGGGAGUACGCCGGCAACGGUGAAACUCAAAGGAAUUGACGGGGGCCCGCACAAGCGGAGGAACAUGUGGUUUAAUUCGAUGAUACGCGAGGAACCUUACCCGGGUUUGAACGCAUUUCGACCGCUCUGGAAACAGAGCCUCUAGCAAUAGCGAUUUGCGAGGUGCUGCAUGGUUGUCGUCAGCUCGUGCCGUGAGGUGUCGGCUUAAGUGCCAUAACGAGCGCAACCCUUGCCACUAGUUACUAACAGGUGAUGCUGAGGACUCUGGUGGGACUGCCAGCGUAAGCUGCGAGGAAGGCGGGGAUGACGUCAAAUCAGCACGGCCCUUACAUCCGGGGCGACACACGUGUUACAAUGGCGUGGACAAAGGGAGGCCACCUGGCGACAGGGAGCGAAUCCCCAAACCACGUCUCCGUUCGGAUCGGAGUCUGCAACCCGACUCCGUGAAGCUGGAUUCGCUAGUAAUCGCGCAUCAGCCAUGGCGCGGUGAAUACGUUCCCGGGCCUUGUACACACCGCCCGUCAAGCCAUGGGAGCCGGGGGUACCUGAAGUCCGUAACCGCGAGGAUCGGCCUAGGGUAAAACUGGUGACUGGGGCU
rnacentral:rRNA from 1 species